rnacentral:rRNA from 1 species
AACGAACGCUGGCGGCAUGCCUAACACAUGCAAGUCGAACGAGACCUUCGGGUCUAGUGGCGCACGGGUGCGUAACGCGUGGGAACCUGCCCUUAGGUUCGGAAUAACUCCCCGAAAGGGGUGCUAAUACCGGAUAAUGUCUUCGGACCAAAGAUUUAUCGCCUUUGGAUGGGCCCGCGUUGGAUUAGCUAGUUGGUAGGGUAAAAGCCUACCAAGGCGACGAUCCAUAGCUGGUCUGAGAGGAUGAUCAGCCACACUGGGACUGAGACACGGCCCAGACUCCUACGCGAGGCAGCAGUGGGGAAUAUUGGACAAUGGGCGAAAGCCUGAUCCAGCAAGGCCGCGUGAGUGAUGAAGGCCUUAGGGUUGUAAAGCUCUUUUACCCGGGAUGAUAAUGACAGUACCGGGAGAAUAAGCCCCGGCUAACUCCGUG